rnacentral:rRNA from 1 species
AUUGAACGCUGGCGGCAGGCCUAACACAUGCAAGUCGAGCGGAUGAAGGGAGCUUGCUCCUGGAUUCAGCGGCGGACGGGUGAGUAAUGCCUAGGAAUCUGCCUGGCAGUGGGGGAUAACGUCCGGAAACGGGCGCUAAUACCGCAUACGUCCUGAGGGAGAAAGUGGGGGAUCUUCGGACCUCACGCUAUCAGAUGAGCCUAGGUCGGAUUAGCUAGUUGGUGGGGUAAAGGCCUACCAAGGCGACGAUCCGUAACUGGUCUGAGAGGAUGAUCAGUCACACUGGAACUGAGACACGGUCCAGACUCCUACGGGAGGCAGCAGUGUGGAAUGUUGGACAAUGGGCGAAAGCCUGAUCCAGCCAUGCCGCGUGUGUGAAGAAGGUCUUCGGAUUGUAAAGCACUUUAAGUUGUGAGGAAGGGCAGUAAGUUAAUACCUUGCUGUUUUGACGUUACCAACAGAAUAAGCACCGGCUAACUUCGUG